CCUACGGGAGACAGCAGUGGGGGAUAUUGCACAAUGGGGGAAACCCUGAUGCAGCGACGCCGCGUGGGUGAAGAAGCGCCUCGGCGCGUAAAGCUCUGUUAGCAGGGAAGAAAAUGACGGUACCUGUAGAAGUAGCCCCGGCUAACUACGUGCCAGCAGCCGCGGCACUACGUAGGGGGCAAGCGUUAUCCGGAUUUACUGGGUGUAAAGGGGGCGCAGACGGCGAUGCAAGCCAGGAGUGAAAGCCCGGGGCCCAACCCCGGGAUUGCUCUUGAAACUGCGAGGCUAGAGUGCAGGAGGGGCAGGCGGAAUUCCUGGUGUAGCGGUGAAAUGCGUAGAUAUCAGGAGGAACACCGGUGGCGAAGGCGGCCUGCUGGACUGCAACUGACGUUGAGGCCCGAAAGCGUGGGGAGCAAACAGGAUUAGAUACCCUGGUAGUC
rnacentral:rRNA from 1 species